GACGAACGCUGGCGGCGUGCUUAACACAUGCAAGUCGAACGGAAAGGCCUCUUUCGGUGGGUACUCGAGUGGCGAACGGGUGAGUAACACGUGAGUAACCUGUCCUUGACUUUGGGAUAACUUCAGGAAACUGGGGCUAAUACCGGAUAGGAGCUCCUGCUGCAUGGUGGGGGUUGGAAAGUUUCGGCGGUUGGGGAUGGACUCGCGGCUUAUCAGCUUGUUGGUGGGGUAGUGGCUUACCAAGGCUUUGACGGGUAGCCGGCCUGAGAGGGUGACCGGCCACAUUGGGACUGAGAUACGGCCCAGACUCCUACGGGAGGCAGCAGUGGGGAAUAUUGCACAAUGGGUGGAAGCCUGAUGCAGCAACGCCGUGUGCGGGAUGACGGCCUUCGGGUUGUAAACCGCUUUCGCUCAUGACGAAGCUUUGUGUGACGGUAGUGGGUAAAGAAGCACCGGCUAACUACGUG
rnacentral:rRNA from 1 species